rnacentral:misc_RNA from 1 species
CAACGAAAACGGAGCGCAUCGUCCAGCAAGAACGGAAAGGGAACGUUUUGAAAAACAGCUGUUUAGAAGGUGUCCGGUUCAUAGAAGGAUACACGCGAGGAGCUGCAGCAUACACAGGCAUACAGACACACGCGCUUGAUCAAAUUCCUGCCCUGCGGUUCUUUUUCGUUUGCGUUUCUGUACGUGUGGCCACACGUACUCGGCCUCCCUCUCUCUUCCUCUGUGUCGGUGUGGGUGUUCUGGGUGUGCUUCUCUGUCACUAAAGGACUCUUAGCGCGGGGCUGUGUCUGGGACGGCUUCCUCUGUAGCGGCUUUCAGUGGACUAGUGACCUCCUCCCCCUCCACCAUCUUUUUUUUUGGCGUUGUUGUAUUCGCUUGCUCGUGUCGUGACGGAUCACUCGCUGCUGGCGUCUCCAUUGUGGACUUUCGUUUCCUUCCUUUCAAACACCUCUAUGACUUUUUGGUGUGGCCCUUGUCACCGUUUUUUUCUUUCUUCGUGGUUUGUUGUCGUGCGCACGCGCUGUGUGAGCGUCUCUCUGUCUCUCCCCCUCUCUCUCUUCACAUAUAAGCAUACCUACAUACACACAGCCGUAUAAUAGCUAUCUAUAUCUAUCCUUACCUCAUCAGGUAUCAGUCAGCCGCGGUAGAAGCAGAUCACCUCCUCGGUGCUCUGCGUGUCUCUCUUCUUGUUCUUUGAUCCCGCCGCGGUUUCCACUCUUUUCGCCGUCGGGCCUUUUUUUUUGAGAUUUCAUUCGUGUCCAGCGUCGCACGCGGCGGCCUCUCUCCCUCUCCCACCCCCUCCUCGCCGUCUCACACUACCGAUCUUUCUCGUAGAACGUCGGGUGUGCCGUCCCUUGUGGGCACGCCUUUUCUGUUUUUGACCAAAGAGACACCCACGUGUCCACCAACGAACCCCUCUGCGCACAGAACGCCUGAUCGCUGUCGUCGGCCUCUUUCACUUUUCCGUUGCUCCCCCCCGGCUGUCACCAUAAGGGCACACAUACGUGCACGCGCAUAUGUGCAUGUGUGUGUAUGCGUGUGGUCACGUUCGCCUCUCCGUGAAAUCAGGCUUCGUUUCCACUUGCUUUUAGCUAGAACAUCGAGGCUAUCAGAGCCGCUACCCACAUAUACAUCCAUCACCACAGUCCCCAAGGAAGUCACAUCUAUAGAGCGUAGCCUUAGACCCCCUUCCUUCCUUUUCGCGAAGAAAAAAAUGCUUGCGCCCACUUCUGCUCGUAGCACGUCGCGGCGCGCCAGCUUCGCUGAGCCGCUGUCGGGCCGCCGCACGAGCUCGUCGGCGCGCAGUGCCCGCCCCAUCCUGGUCUCGGUCCCCCGCAGCCAACGGAGUGAUUCGAUUAGUGCCACGCCAACGCGCUACCGCAGCGAGGCGUCGAUCAGUGCCCGCCAGAUGCGCAGUGAGUUUUAUGAGUCCCCUGCAACCACGAAGGCAAACGCCAUGAAGGUGUACAUCCGUGUCCGCCCCUUCAGUGAGCGUGAAAUCGCACAAAAGGUGGCGCCGCACAGCACCGUGCGCAUCGACGCCGAGAACCCGAGCGUUAUCACAAUCCUCGAGCCGGCGCGCGCUUUUCGCCCACUGUCCACCCACAUCUUCAACCGCUGCUUCUGGUCCGUCUUUGAGAACGCUAAGGACGGCACGGAGAGCGAUCAGUCGGACAUACGCAACGGCGUCGACACCUUCCUCAACGGUGGCAUGAACUCCGCUCGCCGCUCUCGCGCGCAGUCGCUGGUAACGGGGCAGCCGGUGGUGAAUUCCGUCCGACGCGGCACCGGCGCAGGGCUGGAGCCCGAAGGAAUGGAAACCGUUGGCGAGGCCGCGGCCUACGACGGCGCCGGCUCCGCGCCAGUGAUGGUUGACGCCAAUGUGAGCCACCCUCCGUACGCGGGGCAGGACCAAGUGUACAUGCACGUCGGCAAGCCCAUCGUGGGCAACACCCUCGACGGAUACAACGGGUGCGUGUUCGCCUACGGGCAGACGGGCAGCGGCAAGACCUUCACGAUGCUCGGCUACGCGCCGAGCACGAGCGACAUCCGCGCUCGCAAAGGGUCCGUCCCCUGCGGGGCCAGCAGCAUGGAGAACAGCACUCCUCUUGACAGCGCUGUGGAGCCGUUUGAGAGCGAUGACGGCGACGACGUGGUGGACAAGACGGGGCUGGAUCCGAACGAGCUGCAAGGCAUCAUCCCGCGCGCGUGCACGGACCUGUUCGAUGGUCUCCGUGCGAAGCGCGCCAAGGACUCCGACUUCACGUACCGCGUGGAGGUGUCUUACUACGAGAUCUACAACGAGAAGGUGUUCGAUCUCAUCCGGCCGCAGCGCAACACGGACCUGAGGAUACGUAACUCGCCCAACUCCGGUCCAUUUAUCGAAGGCCUGACGUGGAAGAUGGUGUCCAAGGAGGAAGACGUCGCCCGCGUGAUUCGCAAGGGCAUGCAGGAGCGCCACACGGCUGCGACCAAGUUCAACGACCGCAGCAGCCGCAGCCACGCCAUCCUCACCUUCAACAUUGUGCAGCUGUCGAUGGACGACUCCGACAACGCGUUCCAGAUGCGCAGCAAGCUGAACCUGGUGGACCUUGCUGGGUCGGAGCGCACUGGUGCGGCCGGAGCCGAGGGCAAUGAGUUCCACGACGGUGUGAAGAUCAACCAGUCGCUGACGGUGCUGGGGCGCGUGAUCGACCGUCUGGCGGACCUCUCGCAGAACAAGGGAGGGGGCUUCAGCAUUCCGUACCGCGAUUCGAACCUGACAUGGGUGCUGAGCGACUCGAUCGGCGGCAACAGCCAGACCUCGAUGAUUGCCACCGUCUCGCCACACUCUAUCAACUACGAGGAGAUGCGGCAGACAAUCCGAUAUGCGUCACGCGCAAAGAACAUCAUCAACUGGGUAAAGAAGAACGAGGACCCGCAGGUGGUGCUUAUCCGCGAGCUGCGCGAGCAGGUGGUGGACCUGGAGCAGCGCCUAAAGGAGGCGGGUGGCAGCAACUACACGAACGAGUACGUGCAAGGACUGGAGAGGAGAUUGCACCAAUUGGAGAAGAAGUGUGCUGAUCAGGAACGCAUCAUAGCAGGUCUGCGGGCGCAGCUGGAGUUUGCCGGUAUUGUGGACCCGACCGUCGCUGAGGGAUAUCUGGACCCGGCGACCCGCGCCAAGGAGGAUCAGCAGAGGACGAAAGCGGAGGAGAAUAUGCGCAAGCAGCUCGACAAGGCGCAGAUAACCAUUGCCGAAUUGAGGGCUGAGCUGGAGCACCGCGGUGUGACGAUCGAGCCGGAGUCCCUGAAGGCGAUGAAGGAAAAGCUACAGAGGCAGGAUGCGCAACUGCUUGCCCUCACCACCGAGGUCUCCCUGCACCGCCGUUUGAGGUCUCACUUUGAGAAUAUAGACACGGUUAUGGAGCUUGUCAAGGGCAAGGAAACGCUGCUCCUGUGCGCCUGCAACGGCAUUCUCACCGCCAACAGCGAGGCGGCUGCCAUUCUGCAGAAGAUGCUAAGUGAGCGCGAGGACGACUUGCGCGACACGAAGCGGCUCCACGAGGAGGAACUGGCGACGCAGGCGGAGCGAUUCUGUGAGCGGCUGAAGGAAGCCCUGGACGAGGGCGCAGUGCAGCAGCAGCAACUUCUUGACCGCCACCGUGACGCCGUCGCGCAGCUGGAGGGGCGCCUGCAACGCAGCCACGAGAUCAAUGAAAUGGAGCGCAAGCGCAACGAUAAGGAGAAGGAGGAGUUGCGGCAGCGAGUGCAGCUCGCGCAGGAGCGAAUGCGCAACGAGUAUCAGCAGGAGAUCGAGCGGCUGCGCGCCCGAGUGGAGGGUGACAUCGGGGACCGCCACAAGUCCGGAGACGCGGUGCGCCAGCUUCAGGAGAUGCACGAGCGCGAGAUGGAGCGCCUGAGGGACGAGCUGAAUCUCCUGAAGCGCAGCAAGGAUAGCGACUGUGCUCGUCUGCAUAAUCAGCUGGAGAACGAGCGGCUGCGCCGCGAGUCGGACCUUAUGGAGAAAGACCGCCAGAUGAGACUGCUGCGCAACGAGGCCGAUGACGCGAAGCGAACGAUAGAGAAGCUGAACGACGAGAAGAACAAUAUGGAAAAGGAGUACCAGGGUCAGAUCCGCGAGUUGAUGUUGCAGCAGGAGCAGCUCCUGAACGUGAGCAACGCUGUUCUCUCUGGCUGGGAAAACAAGUCAUCGGCGCUGGAGGCGGAUCUGCACAAGAUGCGCGCGCUUGUGUACGACAAGGACUACAUGAACUUCCGGCAAAACAUCCGAGGCCUGGCCUUCAUGGAGCGCGUCAACUUUGAUGAAAAGCUGAAGGAGCUGGACGAGAAGGAGCGGCUGCAGGAGGCACGCAUUCGCCAGAUUAUCUCCAAGGCACGCCGCGCGUAUGAUGAGCAGAACCGUAGCCUGAAGCGGUUCGAGCAGGACAUCAAGGACCGGAUCGGCCGUGCCAGGGUGGGCGAUGGUAGCAGUGACACCUCGCUGCGACCAGAAGACCUCCCCUCCCCAUGACCCAAUUGACCCAUCGGCUCAUUAUCCGUCUUGUAGGUUUUCGGCUUCUUGCGACGGUCUUGCCUGCCCCUCCGCCGUCCCAUCGACGCCACACCCCUCUCUUCGCCUUCGUUCGCUCUUUUCCUUUUUUUUUGUUUGCUUUUGCCACGUCUCUCUCCGGUGAGUGGGAUGCCCCUGCUAGUGUCUUUUCGGACUGCGUCGGUUAGCCGUCCCGCCCCCCACACCCAAAAUACCAGCCUCGCCCCCUCCCUCCCCCUCUCCUGUAUGUGUCUCCCUUUUCUCGACCUCCGCUUGCACCUCGUUGCACUCGCCGACCCCCCACCCCACCCCACCCACACAUCGCAAUUCUUUUUUAUUUCGUUUCCCCUUUACCCUCCACGUCGCUUUUCUCUUGUUCGUCAUUGUCUCUCUCUCUCUGGUGGCGGUGACCGGCCGUGUAUUGUCGUCCGCCUCGCACGUCGGUGCUGUUGUUGUUUUCUUUGCUUCUGCGUAUCGCCCUUUUCUUUCUCGUUUCGUGGCUUCCGUGAGCCGGCGGGUGACACGUCAGGGACAAGAUUUAGUGCAGAUGGUGCGCUGUCCACCGCAUCGCUAGCAUUGUGGCAUCCCCUGCCCCCUCCCCACCCCGACUCCUACCAGAGCCUCCACCGCCCGCCAGUCUUUCCCAUGAGGGCGUCUGACCCGGAGCUGUGCCUGGUAUGCUACGCGAGAUUCCCGAGCUGCUUGAGCCUCACAGCACCUCUCCUUUCACGCAUGGACCUGAUUACGCACACCUCAGUUCUCGCUGCAGGGGGGGGGGGGCUUCCCCCGUCAGGUGUCUAUGGCUGCCUCCCCCCCCCUGCGCCCUUUCAGAAAGACAAGCUGUUAGCUCGCGGUGCGCAGGCGCAUGUUUAGCCAUGACCCCCUUCGGCUUGGCACACCCAUGCCUGCCAGAGGCGUGCGGGUUCAGGGGAAUGCAGAGUGACUCUGCUGCCGUGAACUCGUGGCAGCGUCCCAAAUGUCGUGGCACGUGUGGGCAAGGCACCCACACAAGCACUCCCCCACGACAUCGCCAGAAAUGGCAAAUGAAAAGAGCGAGCUCCCCACCCCACCCCAGACAGCAACGCUGUCCUGAAGCAGGCCCGAGGACCCACAAGUGCGAGCGCUGUGUGCACGCGCUUCCAGCCACCGCUGGCGUGGUGUGCCGCAUCCACGCAGGGCGGCACGCGGAGGUCCGCAGAGCAACGGUGAGGCGCGGAGAAUGCGUUAGAGGAUCCAGACGAAUCAACUGCCCCAUGCAGGGCACGCGUGCGAAGCAUGUGCGGCAUCUCCCACCUCCGACCGUGCGGGCUGACGCGGCGCCGAUGCGGGAAGCACGACGAGAGCACUCUGAACUCGCGCCAUCGAGUCUUCCAGACUGGAGUGUGGAGAGUCACUGCACGAUCUUGUGGAAUGCCGCGGCUUGAGGCGACGGAGAUUGCGCAACACGACACACACACACACACACAGGUCGGGUGUAGAGGGUCUCAGCGGGCCCUGGCCUGCAGCUGGCCAACGUCCUGCUUGAGGUCAUCCGGCAUGCAGGUGGGCCAGCCCCCCUCCCCCCACCCCCUAUUACCCGCACGGUAGACGCCACUGCUUCCGCCCUCGAGUAAGGACCGGGACGCAGACCUGGGGGGGGGCGGUGCAGCGGAGGCGGGUGAGCAGCGGCUGCAUCUGCGUCUGUGUUGCUGGCAUGUGUUCGUGGGCGGGAUCGGGGCAUACACGUUCUAGCAGCAACAGGAAAGCGCCAAACAAAAAGGAAGAAAGGGGCCUUCUCUUUGAAGGGCGCCGCUUUCUCGUGCUGUGAUGUGCAGUGGUGUGCGAGUACGUGUUCUCCAUCUGGGUGUGCCCUCAUGCAGUGCGUAGGGACAGCACUGCCUCCCAUCCAUUUCUUUUUUCCCUCCAGGUUUUACAACGCGGGUGCAGGUGAGCGUGACUUCUUGAUGCAUAUGUGCUCUGAAUUUCGCCUGUUGUUGUUUUUUUUUCGUCAUGUUUGACCUUCCACUCUGUUGGUGCUCUUGUCGCCCUCCUCCCCCUUUCUCUUCCUGUGGUCAUCCCUUUUCCCGUGCCCUCUCUCUCUGCCUUGUACGAUGCAGCCUCAUCGCCAUUCUCUCCUUAUUCGCACCACCUUCUUUUCACGCAACGGCGUGGGCGACCGCAAGACAACGGUACAGAAGCGAAAAAGCGUCCGUGCCGUUGCUGCGCUGCUGCUGCUGCUGCCGGGGACCUUAUUUGGCUCACAUUUCUCGGAUGCUCGCUGUGUGUGUGUGUGUGUGUGUGUGUGUGUGUGUGUCUGUCAUCUUGUUUUUCUAGCUUUCCCUCUCUCCGUUUUACGAACGGGGCUGCAACUACCAUCACCGCCGCCACGGCCGCCCCUUCUUCAUUCGACUGCUUCCGCUUCCCAUGUUCCCAUUUUUUUCGCAAAUUGACCGGUUCCUGGCAGGAAGCCCCAAGCAUCAAAAAGCAACAUCCGAACCUGUUCAGCAUGGGCACGUGCGCACAUGUCCUCCACUUCCCCAUCGCGCAUGCACCAUAAAGCGUAAAGCCGGUUUUAGUGUGCAAGUAUCGUCUUGUUCUCUGUCUGUCUGUGGGGGCGGUGGCGCCUGCCGGAUGCUUGAAUGAGCAACUCCUGUUCACGAAGAGAGCACAAUGUUGCCAGAAGCAUUUGGAAAGGAACUCAUGUGAUCGGCGUUGCUGAUGCACACACAUAUGUGCACUCAGCAUUCCUUAGCACCAGCAGACUGUAUAGCGCAAGACUCGGCCCCUCACUGGCAUCUGCCCUGUGUCACCAACGGAGUGAGCCACUUUCGCGUACACACGCUUCGUCGAGGUGUCCUUUCACGCGAGCCCUCUCUCAUCUCCUUCUGUCCACUUUUGAACACACACACACACACUCCCUCCCUUUUGGUUUCUACUGCUGUACAACCCGGCUGCUCUCGCUUCUCUAUCCUUUCGCCUCCAAG